AAGAGGGAAAAGGGGGAAGGAAGGCCUCUCAGGGCCGGUACUCACAUCCGUCUAUCUCCUCCUGCAGGUCCUCCUGAAGCAGCGACAGAUCUGGACGAGGGAGAAAGGAAGGAAGGAAGGAAUUAAAGGGGGGGGGGGGGGGUUGAAUCAAAACAAUACAACGGGGAUAUAAACCGCAGCUGAGCGGCGAAGGCCUUCCCCCGCUUGGCCUCCUUUGUUUGUCUUCGAGGGGCGUGAAGGCCGCCUCACCUUUCGCCCCCUAAAUCGCGUUGCGGGGAAAUAAAUAAAAAAGGGGGACGCCUACCGCGGGCCAACAAAUCCCACAAGCCCUUCCUUUCCACACUAGAUGUGUCCCCGACGCAGGCGCGGAGGAGGGAAGGGAGGAAGGAAGGAGGCGCCCCUUCCUCACACGACGGGUCGCGUUUCCCUCCCGAAGAAGACUUAAUCCUGACAAGACAGAGGUCCUCCUGGUCAGUCGUGUGGCUGAACGGGGUAUUGGGUGGCAACUUGUACUUGACGGAGUCGCAUUCCCCCUGAGGACACAGGUCCGCAGUCUGGGGGUCCUCUUGGAUUCAGCACUGACACUUGAAGCUCAGGUGUCGGUGGUGGCCAGGAGGGCCUUUGCACAAUUAAAACUUGUGCGCCAGCUGCAACCAUACCUUGAGAAGCCUGACUUGGCUGCGGUGCUCCACACCUUCGUUACCUCCAGUCUGGAUUAUUGCAGUGCACUUUACAUGGGGUUGCACUUGAAGACGGCUCAAAACUUCAACUGGUACAACAUUCGGUGGCCAAACUAAUAACUGGUGCCGAUUAUAGGGAGCGGACAACCCCCCUAUUAAAAGAGCUCCACUGGCUGCCGAUCAGUUUCCGGUCCCAAUUCAAGGUGCAGGUGAUUACCUAUAAAGGUGAUUACCUAAACAGCUCAGGACCUGACUAUCUUCGUGAAUGCAUCUUCCCCUAUGAACCCACACGGGCUCUAAGAUCUGCUGGGGAGGCCCUCCUUGAUCCCAUCUCUGUCUCAAGCGCGGUUGGUGGGGACGAGAGAGGGCCUUCUCGAUGGUGGCCCCCAGGCUCUGGAACUCCCUCCCAAAGGAGAUUAGAUUAGCGGCCACCCUGGAUUCCUUCCGGAAGAAUAUGAAAACAUGUAUGUUCACAGGUGCCUUCUCAUAACUGAUAAUUGAUUGUCCAUGUGCUUUACCUAGGCCUUGGCACUUUAUUACCUUUAGUCGUUCCCACCCCUAGUCAUUGAAGAAUAUGCAUUUUCAGAUUUCCAAUCUCCUUAAAAUGGCCCAUGGCCUAUGGUGCUUGACUAUGGAUUGGGAUUACUGUCUAUGUUUUAAAUUAUUUUAACUUUUGUGAGAAGUGUUAUUAUAUUGUGAUUUUAUUGUGUUACUGUUUUUAUUGAAGUAAUACUGUUUUGGGCUUGUCCCAGUGUAAGCCGCCCCGAGUCCUUCGGGAGAUGGAGUGGGGUAUAAAGUUAUUAUUAUUAUUAUUAUUAUUAUUAUUAUUAUUAUUAUUAUUAUUAUUACGUUUAUAGGCACAAGCCUGCAGUUCAAUUAUUCAAUGCUGAUUGUUAAAACAAAUGUAAAAUUACACAAACUGUGAAUAACUGUCUUGACAAACCUGAUGGGACACAUCUGUAUGGGGAGGUUAUGUUCUGACUUGUAAAAUUAGUAAGGAAACACAAAGUCAUACGGAAGAAGGUGAUACUACUAUUGUUUUGUUUUUUGUAGACUGUGCAGCCCAUGCUGUCUUACUGAAGCCCACACUGACAUAUAAGAUAUCAUUAAUUUCAUAAUUUGGGGAUCAGCAGGAUUAAUUUAAUUUAAUUUAAUUUAUGACACCAUAAAACUGCCAGUGAGCAAAGAGCAAGGAGGAAGUACUACAAUCAAAAAGACUCAGUGUCACAGUGGAUGAAGUGGCAGCUCCCCCUGUGGCUGGAAUCGAGCAUAUCCUCAUGAAGCCGGAAAUUGGAAAAUGUUAAAUUACCUCUACUGUCUGUCUGUAUGUGUUGUAUGUCUAAUAAUGGCAUUUAAUGUUUGCCAUGUAUAUGUGCAUUGUGAUCCAACCUCAGUCCCCUUCAGCAUGAGAAGGACAGAAUAUAAAUACUGUAAAUAAAUAAAUAAAUAAAUAAAUAAGGAAAUUAACUUUGGUUAACAAAAAAGUGUGAGCGUUUUGCAUCAGUCCAGAUAAAACACUUCUAUGAUAAUUCUUGCUUCUGGUCUUGGGAUCUCCAGUUCAGAUUAAUGCACCUCACAGAGAUGCACCUGGAAUCCUGUGAAAAGGUGAAUUUUGACAAUGUGUUCACUGUUUUCAUUUUUCUCUUCUGGUAAUUGGUAGGUGCUCAUUGUUUACCUGCCUUAACGUUUUGAGCAGACAUAUUUCUCCCUCUAUUUCUUUCUGUUAUCCCACCGAACAUUUACAAGCAAGCACCAAGUUUCCACUGUUGAAGGAAAUAUCAAAUCUGUAUAAUGAGAUUGUCUUCUGCUAGAAACCAAAGAUGUGGAUGCUUUCACUUAAAUAUAUUGUGGUGGUUGUACAUACCGUAUUUACUCCCCCCCCUGCUUUAUUUUCUCUACUGCAUCAACAACAGCUCUCAUCAAUCAAUACAAAAUCAAUCAAAUAAAAACAACUUUCAACCCUCAA